CGGGAAGCCAUAUGGCGACAUAGAGCGGAACCCGAAAACCUGUCUCAGUUCGGAUUGGAGUCUGCAACCCGACUCCAUGAAGCUGGAUUCGCUAGUAAUCGCGCAUCAGCCACGGCGCGGUGAAUACGUUCCCGGGCCUUGUACACACCGCCCGUCAAGCCAUGGAAGCCGGGAGUGCCUGAAGUGCGUGAGCGCAAGCAGCGCCCUAAGGUAAAACCGGUGACUGGGGCUAAGUCGUAACAAGGUAAC
rnacentral:rRNA from 1 species